rnacentral:tRNA from 1 species
GAAUAGCUCAGCUGGUAGAGUAUGAGAAUCUUAAUCUUGGGGUCAUAGGUUCAAGCUCCACGUUGGGCA